GAUGAACGCUGGCGGCGUGCUUAACACAUGCAAGUCGAACGAAGCACUUAAGAUUGAUUCUUCGGAUGACGUCUUUUGUGACUUAGUGGCGGACGGGUGAGUAACGCGUGGGUAACCUGCCUCACACAGGGGGAUAACAGUUAGAAAUGACUGCUAAUACCGCAUAACCCGAUAGGAUCGCAUGAUCCAGACGGAAAAGAUUUAUCGGUGUGAGAUGGACCCGCGUCUGAUUAGCUAGUUGGUGAGGUAACGGCCCACCAAGGCGACGAUCAGUAGCCGGCCUGAGAGGGUGAACGGCCACAUUGGGACUGAGACACGGCCCAAACUCCUACGGGAGGCAGCAGUGGGGAAUAUUGCACAAUGGGGGAAACCCUGAUGCAGCGACGCCGCGUGAGUGAAGAAGUAUUUCGGUGUGUAAAGCUCUAUCAGCAGGGAAGAAAAUGACGGUACCUGACUAAGAAGCCCCGGCUAACUACGUG
rnacentral:rRNA from 1 species